rnacentral:snRNA from 1 species
GUACUCGCUUCGGCAGCACAUAUACUAAAAUUGGAAUGAUACAGAGAAGAUUAGCAUGGCCCCUGCACAAGGAUGAUGCGCAUAUUUGUGAAGUGUUCCAUAUUUUU